ACUUGAUGGUGAGGGCAUUUAUGUAAGAGGUCCUUAAAGCGUUCUCGGGUCUUGAAAAAUUGUUCUCCAUUUAUUUGUGAGAAACUAGCAAUUGCCUUCCUCAACU